rnacentral:tRNA from 1 species
GAAGAAUUAUGUAAAGUUACUGCUAAUAAUUUUGUGUCAAUUUGUUUUGACUUUCUUCU